rnacentral:rRNA from 1 species
GAUGAACGCUGGCGGCGUGCCUAACACAUGCAAGUCGAACGGUCAACCUCGGUUGAUAGUGGCGCACGGGUGAGUAACACGUGGUUGAUCUACCCUCAAGUAGGGGAUAACGUUCUGAAAGGAAUGCUAAUACCCUAUAAGCUCCCGGAGUUUAGAAGACUGGGAGAAAAGUCCCGGCGCUUGAGGAGGAGACUGCGGGC